rnacentral:rRNA from 1 species
AGCUAGUUGGUGAGGUAACGGCUCACCAAGGCGACGAUCCCUAGCUGGUUUGAGAGGAUGAUCAGCCACACUGGAACUGAGACACGGUCCAGACUCCUACGGGAGGCAGCAGUGGGGAAUAUUGCACAAUGGGCGCAAGCCUGAUGCAGCCAUGCCGCGUGUGUGAAGAAGGCCUUAGGGUUGUAAAGCACUUUCAGUCAGGAGGAAAGGUUAGUAGUUAAUACCUGCUAGCUGUGACGUUACUGACAGAAGAAGCACCGGCUAACUCCGUGCCAGCAGCCGCGGUAAUACGGAGGGUGCGAGCGUUAAUCGGAAUUACUGGGCGUAAAGCGUACGCACGCGGUUUGUUAAGCGAGAUGUGAAARCCCCGGGCUUAACCUGGGAACUGCAUUUCGAACUGGCAAACUAGAGUGUGAUAGAGGGUGGUAGAAUUUCAGGUGUAGCGGGUGAAAUGCGUAGAGAUCUGAAGGAGCCGAAUACCGAUGGCGARGGCAGCCACRUGGGUCAACACUGACGCUCAUGUACGAAAGCGUGGGGAGCAAACAGGAUUAGAUACCUCUGGUCCNNAGUCCACGCCGUAAACGAUGUCUACUAGGAGCUGGGGUCUUCGGACAACUUUUC